CACAGGGAUAGGGAGAAGGUGAUCCACAUUGCAGGGGCCUAAUUACAGGGGGCCCUGAAUGCCAAGCCAAGACUUGGAAAAUUAGAAGGUCUACAAGGACUCCAGAACUCUCCAGGAGUGAUGAAAGAUGGUGUCUUAGCCUGGGUUUCUGCAACAAGCAGAGCCUAGCACAACAUGGUGGUUUACUUUGAAAAGUGAUCCCAAGAAACAGGAGUGAGAGGCUCGGAAGAGUCAAACGGAAAGAGGACAAGCCAACCAAGGCUGUGCCUGGGUGCAUCACGAUUCACCUAAAAAUCACCACUGAAAUCCGCAGCAGGCAAUUGUGCCAGACAACAGGUGAUGACGGGGGCAAACACGACUCAGCUUCUGCCUGCAGCAUCUACAGUCAUGGAAGGAGACCUCCGUGAAAGUGUGGUGUUUGCUGUGAGAGGGAGCAGACGCUCACUGCCAUAGAUCUCAGAGACCACCAAGGCUGAAUAAGCUGAACAACGCAUGCGGAAAGUCCACAGGCCUGCACACCAAUGGCCACAGCCUGUUCUCUCCCUGCAGGUAGGACACUCAUGCGGUACCACCCUUCCUGAGGACACCUUCCUUCCAUUGCCUGGACAGCAGCAUCCUGCCCUGGGCCACCCUCCAUGUGGAUGCCCUUCCCACUUCCCCAGGGCACUGACUCCAAGCGCAAGGUGCCCUUGCAAUAGACACUCUCCUCACCCCUCUAGUUCUGCCAUCCUGCCCUGGGCCACCUUCUGUGUAGACCCCUCC